rnacentral:misc_RNA from 1 species
CCGAAUGUUGUGUGCUCUGAGCUUAAUGUUGAUCGUAACUCUGCCCCUUUAGUUGGUGKCGGCCGCGYAAGKCACCAACCGGGCUUGAUAAGACAAUCAAGCCUGYCGAUGACMKGGUACCUAUCGUAGACUUUAAAAAAUCUACGWUWKGUAUUCGGUCAUCAAUCUGCGUGGGACGGUGKGUUUYGAUGCUUCCGAUCUUGUGUAUUUGCUANAUGARCGAUAUUCGUUUCCCAUUCUUCGUUCGUGACCCGACUUUAUUGCCUUGCCGGCGGGGAUGAGCUCGAUCGCCAGCUUGACUGGGAUUGCAAAUUACUAGUCGCUUAAGCGUAGAUGCAAACUACGCAGGCAAACAUGGAUGCGCUUGAUCACCGGCUUGACUGGGAUYGCAAAUUUCAUGGCUGAUGGUUACUCGGGGCAUGUUUAGCGAAUUGAGCUCGACGUAAAUACACCAACAAGRKAUGACGCAUCRUUAUCCACCGUYGGGUUUCCUGAUUCCGUAUCGUUCGGUGCAUUCUGGGGCUGUUUUGGCUUUUGGUUGCUUGCUUGGCCUUUGAGCAGAGUGGGUGGCUACUAGUCGGGGUGGCUUCGGGGAUGUUUACCGUAAAGGUGCAUGAGUGGUGUUUGGUUUGUUACGUGUGGUUGGCUGCGGCGCUUGCAACAACUUCCAUGCUCUCAUACCUCUUCAGUAGUGCGACAAGGCUUGUAUCGCCUUGAGCGUMUAGUGGGUUUCCUGUGUUGAAUACCUAAUCAACGGUAUCGGUUGGAUAGAUCAMAAUUUMCAUUUCGCCUUGYGUUGCAUUUGCAGUGCGAGGUGAACCUUAAUGCGUUCUCUUUGAUCCACCUUGUUGAAGCACAAGCUUCGACAUUGUGGCACAUUGAGCAUCGCUUGGUAUCUUGUAUACGGAACAUAAAGUGGGCAUGGGAUCUAACGAUUCUUGUUUGCCNUUGUUUUAGCGUUCUCGCUUCUAUAAAACGACUAGCGCURCGUGUUGGCUUGUCC